ACACGACUACAUUAGAUACCCCGGUAGUCCCAGCUGUAAACGAUGCAGACUAGGUGUUUGGACGGCCACGUGCCGUUCUAGUGCCGCAGGGAAGCUGUUAAGUCUGCCGCCUGGGGAGUACGAUCGCAAGAUUGAAACUUAAAGGAAUUGGCGGGGGAGCACCACAACGGGUGGAGCCUGCGGUUUAAUUGGACUCAACGCCGGGAAGCUCACCGGAUAAGACAGCGGAAUGAUUGCCGGGCUGAAGACCCUGCAUGACCAGCUG
rnacentral:rRNA from 1 species